rnacentral:misc_RNA from 1 species
UACGCAUACCAUCUUUUUGGUUGCCUUUGGCUUUUCUCCGUUAUAUUUUACGUCAUUGGAGGCACUUCUUCACAACCACAAGCACCCACGCACACACACACACACACACAUCCACUCAAAGACUUCUCUUUCUCCCCCUCCCUCUCUACACACGCACCCACGCACAGAAAACUCACAAGCCGAAGGCCAGACUCUGUAUUUUCUCGCAUCGCUCAAGGUUCUCUCCCCCUCCCUUUCGCUUCUUUCCUUUCGCUCACACACAUACACCGCACACACACACACACACAACACAGACACAGACACGGGCGGUCAUACGCGUACGCGCAGACGCUUCGGCGUGGGCAUGGACGUUGUCGCCUUGGCCUAUUCUUAUCUCUCCUAUCUCCUUUCUCUCCUUUUUCCUCUUCCUCACAGGUACAUCUAAGCUGCAUCCUCGUGCACACACACCCGCACAUCACGCACGCGCUGGUUCUCUCUCCCUCCCUCUGCUUGUUUGUUACCCCACACCCCAUCCGCGUUGUGCGUCAUUAUAUCCCCCCUUGUUCUUCUCACUCGUGUUGCUCGUUCUCGUUUCGUCACUCGUUCGUUCCCUUAGCAGCGUGAAAGGGGGAUACGCUGUGCGCGUGCGUGUGCGUGUGCGUGUAAGCCUCUCGCUCUUUUUUCGGAAAAGAAAAGGAGGGAGGCAAGGGGAGGGAGGAGGCGCUUGCGUAUGGGGCGUUGGCUGUGCUGAGUUUUGGGAUACCGGUCUGCCGCGUUUUUCUCUGCCUCUCUUUCUCUCUCCUACAGUCGAUCAUCACGCACCAGCACGACAUCUAUUACAGAUACAUACGUGCACCCGCGAAGGCUGCUGCCUUUGUCAGCGUGGUCUUUCAAGUGAUCAAGUCGAAGGCCCAUCGCAUUGGCAGCGUGCUCGUCCUUCCGGCAGUGCGUAACUGGUGUGUAUUUGCGUGUGUUUCCUUUUCGUUGUUUUUCGUUUUUUUUUUUCACGGGUGUGCCUGUGAGAGGCACGACUGCGCUGCGCUUGGUUUGCUUGCAGUCCGGCGCGAAUCGCUGGCUUCUAGUGUAGCGCUCUCUCUCUGUCGGUCUCUGUCCAUCUGCGUGUGCGUGUGCUUCGUGAGACUUCACAAACGUGCCCCCCCCCCCCCCCCCCCCCCCACACACACACACACACACGCACGCAUACACACACCAGUCCAGGGGAAGGAGAGCGAGAGCGUCUUGCGUGUUUUCGACACCCUUCUAAUUGUCUAGCCAUGCCAACCACUAGCGUUGCCGCCCAGAGCAGCAGUAGUGGUAGCGGCGGCGGCUCUGCGUACAGGGCUGGGGAGAGGUCUUCCGCGUCAUCCUACUCGUCGCAUGGCGGGACUUCGGAGACUGACCACGCCGGAUCAUCAUAUUCAUCACCGUCGCACGAGUCGGCAUCGCAGCACGGCGACCAGCGCUGCCCCUAUGAAGACGAUGGCUCAACGCUCAUCUCUGUGGAGUAUAUCCAGCGGCUCUGGCUCAUGCGAGCCAUCAGCCGCACUGUGCUCGCCCCCCUCGAGCGUGUGAAGUACGUAAUGCAGUGCCAAAAGGAGCUCCAACGCGCAGGUGUCCUUCAGUGCGAGUUCAAGACCGUGUGGUCCUGUGUGCGCUACCUCAAGCAUAUGGAGGGCGCACGGAGCUUCUGGCGCGGCAACCUCAUCCAGGUGGUCUCGCUUCUGCCUAUACUGCUCGCGCAGAUAUUUCUUGCGUACCCAACACAAUCGUUCAUCUUCAACUCCUGUGUGAUGCAUUCCGUAGCGGGCUACACGGUGGCCAGCUACGCCGCCCUUCUCGGGGGUGCACUAGCGGCCACUGCGGUGAGCUACCCCCUGGAGUACGCGCGGUUCCGUCUCGCCGUCGAUGUCAAGUCCCGUGUCGGCGCCCCGUACCAGUUCCGAAAUAGCUUUUCCUUCUACGCCCAUCCCGUGAUGAGCGAAUGCCCCCACUUCCUCUAUCGCGGCCUCACUCUCUUUAUCUUCGGCAGCGUUGUCUACCAGUCUGUGCAGAGUGUUCUGCUGAACCUCGUCGCUCCGUACGUACCGCCAGAUGAGGAGGGCAACGGUUGGACCCCGGCGAUCAUACAAACAGUGUGUGGCUUGGCGGUAUCCGGCACGACCACCCUGUGUCUUCAUCCGGUGGACUUAGUGCGCCAUCGCAUGAUGGUCGCCGUUAUGGAGGACCGGCUGCGGUACUCAUCCGCCAUGAAGUGUGUGGCCCGCAUCGCGCAAAAAGAGGGCAUCCGCGGCUUCUUUCGCGGCGGGACCGUUACCCUGACGAAGAUGAUAGCGGCGACAGGGCUUGUCUUGGCGGGGCUGCCGUACUAGACGCAUCCCGUUUUCUCUCGCUAGGCCUUGUGUGUGUGUACAUGCGUUCAUCCCUGUGUGAGAAAACACACGCGGUAUGUUAAUGUGUGUUUGUGUGGGAGGGGCGGAGGCAGGCGGCGGGGGAGGGGGAAGAAGAGGUAGUAUGGGGACACUCAACUCACUUCCUUUUCUCCCUCCUUCGUUGGCUUCCGCGAUGGUGUGUGGUGGCGGGGCACGCGCACGCACCCAAACACCAGCGUUCAGAGAUAAACUGUUCUGAGGAAGGGGGUGAGAGCACCUCUCCUCCUCGCUCUUUUCUUUGUUGGUAUUGUCGCUCGCUGCUCCACAGUUUUACUCCAUGGCACGGACGCACGGACACGUCUGCGUUGAUGUGAGGCGUGCGUGCGUGAGUGCGUUGAUGCGAGGCGUGUCGUUUCUUCGCCUCUUCUGAUCAUAUUUUUGUUUGGCUUUGUUCACAUUACUCGUUUUCUGUUUUCCCUUUUCGCGUGUGUGCCCCCCCCCCCCCCCCCCCCCACCCACCGUCCGUCCGCCCCCUCUUUCCUUGGAUUUUCGUUCAUCUCUCCACUCACUCCCCCUCUUUUUUUUUUUUCUCGGGUUGCGACUUGAGAGGCUCGACGGAUGAUAAUGUCCAUGGCGUUGGCGACGGUGGCUGCAGGUGGUGGAUGGGAGGUGUGCAGGAAGGAUUCGGAUGGCUUGAUUGGCAACGCUUCUCGUUGGCGUUACGUGCGCUUUGGGAGAUAGAAAGCGCCGUAGCCGUGGCUGGAGCGCGUCUCGGUGAGCGCACGCGUUGAUGUACGUACGGGUUCUCGUACUUCUCCACAAUCACCGACAUGGAUGUAGAGAUAGGCUCGAUGACGCACGCGUACACACACACACACACACACACACAAGCACGUUCCCUUUACAUACGCACGUUGUCACCUCCACACGCCUACACCCUCUCGCUGUCGCUUCUGCUUCGCGUGUCUUCUCUCCUGUUAAGCUUUUCUUCGAUCUGUUCAUGCUGCCGUAGAACAUGAGUCCAACGCUACAUGACUUCCCCCACUCCAACCCUCCCACAGGCCCCGCAUCCCGCUGCUCUGCGCCGCGGGAUGCGGGGCCCAUUAUGCUGGUCGAAACGUAGCGCGCUCCUCUUGGGGCAGCACGCAGGCUCCCCACACCUCUGUAGGCUGCGUGAGGGCCGGGGGUGGGAUACGCUGGGGUUGCGCUGGCACUUUGCCCAUCACAUGAGGGGCGCAGACGCGUUCACUGCCGCAGCUCGCUCCACAAUACAACGCCAUCCACGACCUGACCACCCGCAUCAGCAGCGGCACAUCGCUCUGGCCACCCCCCACGUCGUAGGUGCUUGGUCCUGUCGCCACCAGAGGUGGUUCGGCAUUCGGCAGGGCAUAGAGGGAGGGGGCUGCCUGACUUCCUCACACAUUGGGGGCACUGGCCCCUGGCAUGCUACGCGCGGAAGCGUCCACCCCCCUCCUCAACGUCACCCGGGUCUCUUUUUAAGCACGAACAACCCCAGAGGACUAUGAAGAACACACAACGACGGUAGAAAACUCGGGGGAAAGGUACGAGGCCACCUUGGCCAUGGUGAUUGGUGGUGUUCCUGCAUAGUAUUUUGCGUGCUUCCACCUCCACCAGCUUUCUCAUCAAGUAUCGCUUAUCGUACAGCGCGUCUUUGUGUAUGUUUGCUCAAACUGCAUGUGCGUGUCUGUGUGUGUGUGUGUGUGUGUGUGUGUGAUGGGGCGCAGGGUGACGAUGGUGUGCCCGACGCCAAAGGUCGAGCUAGAACGCUCGCACUUGCACGUAUCA